CCUACGGGUGGCAGCAGUGAGGAAUAUUGGUCAAUGGACGAGAGUCUGAACCAGCCAAGUAGCGUGAAGGAUGACUGCCCUAUGGGUUGUAAACUUCUUUUAUAUGGGAAUAAAAUGUUCCACGUGUGGGAUUUUGUAUGUACCAUAUGAAUAAGGAUCGGCUAACUCGGGGCCAGCAGCGGCGGUAAUACGGAGGAUCCGAGCGUUCCCCGGCUUUAUUGGGUUUAAAGGGAGCGUAGGUGGAUUGUUAAGUCAGUUGUGAAAGUUUGCGGCUCAACCGUAAAAUUGCAGUUGAAACUGGCAGUCUUGAGUACAGUAGAGGUGAGCGGAAUUCGUGGUGUAGCGGUGAAAUGCUUAGAUAUCACGAAGAACUCCGAUUGCGAAGGCAGUUCACUGGACUGCAACUGACACUGAGGCUCGAAAGUGUGGGUAUCAAACAGGAUUAGAUACCCUAGUAGUC
rnacentral:rRNA from 1 species